rnacentral:lncRNA from 1 species
CCACAUCAAUAAAUUGAAUGUUGAACACACAGUUACAAAAGUUGAAGUAAUUCAAUUUUCAUGCUUCAAUCCUUUCAUAUUUCAGCUCACAACAAUCCAAGGCAAAGUCGUGUACCUGGACUUGGAAUAAAAUAAAGUAGAAGAAGUCAGCUACAACAGCAAUUCGAACAGCAAUAGCGGUAUGCAAUUCCCAGCAACUCAGAAUCAACGAACAACCCAAGGAAUAAAGCCAGAAGCCCAGGAAGGUUCAAACUCAAACGGGAACAAGCAGAUUAAACCCAAAAAAACUUGAAAUGCAUUCAGUUAUACUCAAAAGGUAGCAGCACACUUCCACAGAUCUAAAACUCAAUCAAAACCAACCUAACUAGCCCCAAACUGCUCGAAAUUGAGCCAGUGACCACCUGAAGCCUCAACCACCAAAUACUGAACUAGAAAGUGGUAAUUAUUAAUUGAAAUUUGAAAUUAGCCUGAGGUAUUCAAAGGAACAGUACACUUUUUGGUUUUUGUUAAAGAGUUUUUGUUGCUUUUGAUUUUUGAAGAUUUUGGUGUUUUUCCCACAUUUCAGAUCUGAAGCUUAUAGAAGAUGGGAAGGAAUUUUGUGAG